AUUGAACGCUGGCGGCAUGCCUAACACAUGCAAGUCGCACGAGUGGCGGACGGGUGAGUAAUGUCUGGGAAACUGCCUGAUGGAGGGGGAUAACUACUGGAAACGUUAGCUAAUACCGCAUACCAUCGGAUGUGCCCAGAUUGGAUUAGCUAGUAGGUGGGGUAAAGGCUCACCUAGGCGACGAUCCCUAGCUGGUCUGAGAGGAUGACCAGCCACACUGGAACUGAGACACGGUCCAGACUCCUACGGGAGGCAGCAGUGGGGAAUAUUGCACAAUGGGCGAAAGCCUGAUGCAGCCAUGCCGCGUGUAUGAAGAAGGCCUUCGGGUUGUAAAGUACGUUCAGCGGGGAGGCGUUACCCGCAGAAGAAGCACCGGCUAACUCCGUGCCAGCAGCCGCGGUAAUUC
rnacentral:rRNA from 1 species